AACAUUCUAGGCAAUAGCUGUUGCCCUUGGUUACCACUGAGAGGUAGAAAUUAAGUCCUAUUGCUGAAGAUGCCAUAUACUUCAGACACAGGCCCCAGAGGAUGAAGAUGAGUUUAACCAGAAAGUCUCUCCCUCUGUACUAGCUGUCAUGAAACCAGAAUGUACCAUUAUACUUUUUAACACCUGAAUUACUCUAUUUCACUUCUGCCCUAGCUACUUUAUUUGAAAUUCAUUUGAAAGAGGCUUACUCCAGAACAAUGCUUUCCCCCUUCGUUUUCUUUUUCUCUUAUACAAAUUUACUUUAUUGCUCCUACAUAAGAAAAGACUAUCUUCAUGGAAUAUACAGUUUGAAUUGGCAUUGGCUGGAUUGUGCCUUUAAGAUUGCACUAAAACAAAGGAUUCAAUGAUGUGGUUGUAUUUGACAGCAAGAUAGAUGAGAAAAUGCAAUCUAUUCUGUAUUUUGUUCAACUGAAAACUUUAAUAAAUAGCUUCGAGUCAAGAAGAAAAUCCUUAAGAAAAACAUUGAUAUGUUGUAUUUAUUGGAACCAGCUAUAAUACUAUAUGCUGAUAAAGAGACAAAUUCAAUGCACUCUGCCAAACUACCAGAAGGAAGACUUGAAAUUUUGAUGGACAAGCUGUGAAGAUAAAAACCUAAGUUUCAAAAUAACAACAACAACAACAACAAUAAAAAAAAAACAAGUUUCUUG